rnacentral:rRNA from 1 species
UACGAAGGGGCUAGCGUUGUUCGGAAUCACUGGGCGUAAAGGGCGCGUAGGCGGCUUUAUAAGUCGGGGGUGAAAGCCUGUGGCUCACCACAGAAUUGCCUUCGAUACUGUAGAGCUUGAGACCGGAAGAGGUAAGUGGAACUGCGAGUGUAGAGGUGAAAUUCGUGGAUAUUCGCAAGAACACCAGUGGCGGAAGGCGGCUUACUGGUCCGGUU